AAUUUACCAAGUAACCGAGGUUCAUUUUGGACAAGCUGGCUUCUCAGGCUCACGGCCAGAAUUGUCCAAUGGGUUUACUCUGGCUCUGAUAUGCUUAUAUUGGGUAUUGAGGAUUUCCUAAAGAUGUCUUCACCCCCAGAAAGCAGGAAGUAAUUUUAAGAACACGAUGCCCACAUUCCCAAGAGGCUUGAAAAAGCUGCCUGAAGAUAGAGAGCCACUAUAGAUCAAGUAGAAUUAAAAACAAAGGAGAAAUUGCCACUGAGCAUCACCAUUAAGACACAAGGACAUUUUCAAUGAUGAAUAAGUACUAAGUAAUCUUUUGUCUUUAAAGGUGUUUAAACCAAGUAAUUUUGACUUUGUGAAAGAGAAUGUAUCCCACUUUUCCUGUGCCACAGAAACCUUGUUAGA